AACCGGGGCUAAUGCCGGAUAACAUAUCGAACCGCAUGGUUCGAUAGUGAAAGACGGUCUUGCUGUCACUUAUAGAUGGACCCGCGCCGUAUUAGCUAGUUGGUGAGGUAAUGGCUCACCAAGGCAACGAUACGUAGCCGACCUGAGAGGGUGAUCGGCCACACUGGAACUGAGACACGGUCCAGACUCCUACGGGAGGCAGCAGUAGGGAAUCUUCCGCAAU
rnacentral:rRNA from 1 species